GUCAGGGCCGGGGCCGCCAUUUUGAGCGGCUCCGCGGGCGGCGGCGGCGGCGGCCGCGGGCGGGGGAGGAGGAGCGCGGCCCCCAUGGCCGGGCAGUUCGACUCCGAGGACCGGGCGAGCUGGUACUGGGGGCGGCUGAGCCGCGCCGAGGCCGUAUCGCUGCUGCAGGGGCAGCGCCACGGCACCUUCCUGGUGCGCGACUCGGGCACCAUCCCCGGCGACUUCGUGCUGUCCGUGUCCGAGAGCUCCCGCGUCUCGCACUACAUCGUCAACAGCCUGGGGCCGGCGGGAGCCCGGCGGGCCGGCGGCGAGGGCCCCGGGGCCCCGGGGUCGAAUCCCACCAGAUUUCGAAUAGGUGACCAAGAGUUUGAUUCUUUGCCAUCUUUACUGGAAUUCUACAAAAUACACUAUUUGGACACUACAACCUUGAUAGAACCUGUUUCGCGCUCGAGGCAGAAUAGCGGGGUUAUCCUCAGGCAGGAGGAGGCCGAGUAUGUGCGAGCGCUCUUUGACUUUAAUGGCAAUGAUGAGGAAGACCUCCCCUUUAAGAAAGGAGACAUACUGAGAAUCCGGGAUAAGCCUGAAGAGCAGUGGUGGAACGCAGAAGACAGCGAAGGGAAGAGGGGAAUGAUACCCGUUCCUUACGUCGAGAAGUAUAGACCUUCCUCUGCUUCAGUCCCCACUCUGAUUGGAGGUAACCAGGAUAGUUCCCACCCACAACCACUGGGUGGGCCGGAGCCAGGGCCCUAUGCCCAGCCCAGCAUCAACACUCCGCUCCCUAACCUUCAGAAUGGCCCUAUUUAUGCCCGGGUUAUCCAGAAGCGAGUCCCUAAUGCCUACGACAAGACAGCCUUGGCUUUGGAGUAGCAGAACUCUGCCACCUUGACCUCACCAAAGAGGAGUACUUGGAAUAAAACCACAACAUACAGAAGUCUUCACUUGAACCUUCAGUUUUGCUUUGAAGCAUAUGGGGUAUAUUUAGUUUUAAAACUUCUGAUGAAGACUGAGACCUGGCUUUCUAGCAGGGUCGGUGAGCUGGUAAAGGUCACAAAGAUUAACAUGAGUGGUCAGUGGGAAGGAGAAUGUAAUGGCAGACGUGGUCACUUUCCAUUCACACACGUCCGUCUGCUGGAUCAACAGAAUCCUGACGAGGACUUCAGCUGAGUGUGGCUCAACAGUUGCUCUUACAGAUGGGAACAAUCUCAACUUGUUUUUAUUGCAGAUGCCAUCAAGACUAAGCUCGGACCGACGCUGCAAGUGGUAUUGCUUGGAUAAGCAUUCUGAUAACCUGCAAACCCCUGGGACUCAACACCACCAUUCCUUAAGCAAGGGUCAUGUAAUUCAGGGUACGACAGUAGAUUACUCGUGUGUCCAGUGGCAGAACUAGGCCAUGAUUCUAGGUUGUAAUGCCUGCUUAUGUCCACGUGCACGGCAGCCUGGACCUUGCCAGCAGCAGCAGCUGGAGAAAGCAGUGCUGUAGGUGUUCAGAGAACAUUUAUAGCUCUCUCCGGGCCCAUUGCUUAUGUUGCUUCUUCCUCAGGCAAUGAAGAUCAACUGUAGACAAUUCAAUACCUUGGUAGAAAUUUCCCAAAUUUUUUCCUGGAGCUCUCUCCAUGUGUUUUGCCAUCCUGGGUUCUCUGUCCUAGAAAGGCUCCGCAGCGCUCUGCAUGGGCAGUUAGCUGUGCACAGCACAGACUGAUGCAGGGCCCGUCGGGGACAGCCUUAUGAUUUACAGAUCCUUACCAUUUUCAUGGUAAAUGACAGAUCCAAUCAACCUCUGAAUUCUAGAAGCUUGUGGACACUAGAUUGAUUUCUUCAGUACUGUUGAUGCUUCAAACAUAGCAGCUGAUUUUAAUUUAAGAUUUUUAUUAACACGCAGUAUCUCCUUUUAUCCACAAAUACAAGGCUUAUGGAAGUGUAAACCUCCAUAUCAGUGCUGAAAAAUACGUGCAUAGCACUUUAAUACGUAGCUUUAAAGCAGUGUUUGAUUCACUAAAUAUACUAAAAUAUUGACACUGCUUUCCAAUAAAAUUAAAUUGUGUAGGGCUAGUUUAAUUUUUCUAGAAUUCUUCAAUAUUGUACAAUACUGUUACAGUACAAAUCAGUGUCAAACACGAUGAACUGACAAACCAAAUAUUAGUUUUAUUUUAAAGAUACUCUGGGGACUCUUCUGGUUUAAUUCCCAUCUGUAAAAUAUUGAUAGUGAAUUCAUGAGGAUUUUAUUUUUAAUAAACUAAUGGAAAAUAAUUGUGUGCUUCUGGAUUGAUUCUCAAAAGGCAUAAUAAAUAUGGCUUCCUAGCUCAUGAUGAAAAUCAGUGCAUUGAGUAGGCAGUAUUAUGCACUGCUUGAUGGUUGGUUUUUAGUCUGUUCUUCUAAUUAUCUGGUUUUCUCUAAUAUAAAUCAGAAUGGAUUUAGUAAGUUUUGUAAACUGAAAUUAAACACUGAAGUAACUCUCCCUUGCCUGUACCCUGGGUUUUUUCCAAGCACAGAACUCUGGUGACCAAACUAAAUUUUGUAACUUUGACUACAGUAUAAUCCAUGCAGAAGGGUUUUUCUAGAUAGUAUCAAACUGAAACUGUUGGGUUGGGUUGCUUCAGACCUGUGGGACCCCAAUGGCUCAUGGGUUGCACGUGCUGCAAAGGCCUUUGCUGCAAGGCACCAACCCUACAACAAUACUGGUAACACUUUACCUCAGAACUCUGCAACAUGCUGGAAAUUAUAAUAUUUCUGUUCUAUUUAAGUACUAGUUGUUUUACUUCAAAACUAAUCCAUCAGCAAGUCUGAGUAAUGUUCAGGUUAUGGGCACUCAUUAAUUCUGUGGACGAAUGUUAAUCACACUUGUCCAUCACCAGUCUCAUGAACACUACUGAGGAUUAUUAUCAAAAACUGACAGCAGGGACAGUGGGGUAAGAAUGGAAACAAGGAAUUGCAGUUCUGUUCUGCCUUGGAUUGCUCUUCUGGUUCGGGUGACGUGCCAGUGAUUGUGGGAGCUCUUCUAGCUUAGUACAAAAUUUACUUUGAGGGGACAUAAAAUGCAAAACUAACUCUAGGUUCUGUAACUCAUCGGGUUCUUUAAGGCUGAUUUAUGGUUUUCCUCUGAUCUUGAUAUUCACUGUAACUGCAGGGGUUUGUUCAAUAGCUGCACUCUAAAUAAUACACUUAAUACUGAGUUUUUCAGUUGCCCAUAAUAUGCUUAUAUUUUUCUUCAGGUAUUGCAAAAGAAACCUAAUAAACAGUGUCUCCUUAGAGUGACAAUGUUUGAAGUAUUUUUGCCAACUGCAGUUAAUGAAAGCCCAUGUAUUUGUACCUUUCCAAUCAGGAAUUCAUAUACCAAAAUAUCAGUUAGUUUUAUUAUGCAAACCUUGCCUUUUUAAUAUGAAAGACAUGAAUUGAAUUAACUAGCAAGUACCCUGCAAACUUUGUAGAUGUGCUUUUGUUAAGACUGUAUAAAUUGUGAAUAUUUGUACACUUUGAAAGAGCAAAAUAAAGAAACUAGAGGAGUCUUAAUAGCUGCUGUUACAGUAGAAUCCCAAGUUCUUGUUAAGCAGUUUUUUUAGCUGACUGAUACAUUAAUGCAACUGUUUUCCACUCUUCAGUUCUAAGCUGAAAUGUGAUUUUGUUUCAUAGGUGAUAGAAAGGAGUAUGAAUUUGGACAAAAUAGACAUUUCAACUUGUCAGGCUCUUCAAGGCAAAUAGGUAGAACCUAUGUCCAUGAACAUAUAGAUGAAAUCCUUUUGUGGCCUUUGUUUAUCCUCUUCUAUUUGUUCCCUCCCUUCUCCCCAAUGCGUGCAAAAAAAUCAUUGCUCAGAAUGUUGGUCACAAUCUUUUGUCUCUUCCUUGGCUGUGGUUUUGGUCUCUUGUGCAUAGGCAGGUGUUAGAACUAGAAUAAUAAUUUCUAGAAAUACACCAUGAAAGCAGAAUGCUCAAUUACACUGUGUUCUUCUGGUGCAUUUACACAUUAUAUCACACUAAAAAUUACAACUGGCUGCUAUGGUUUUUUAAUAUAUAUUUCAUUUUGGUAAGCCCCAGCCUUUUUACUAAUAUAUGACCUGGUUAAAUCUUGUUAAUCUGUUUGAAUUGUAUUUGUUAAUAAUGCAAAUAUUUCUAAUCAUCUUUAAGAGUAAAACACUUCCUUUUUGUUAAUGGUUUUGGGGAAGGAUUCUAACCAAACCUGUUUGAAGAAAAAUAUGAACAUGUGACAUUGUAUUAUAACACUAUCCACUUUCUUGACAGCUAAAGUCCUUUUUUUAUUUUUUGUAGCAUGUAAUGUAUAUGUUCAUAGUACGUGAAGUAAAUAAAAGUAUAGCCAAAACUUUGA